CGCUCAUCCAGAGGGGCAGAGGGAUACGGCCCGUUGAAGCCCCGGCAACCCUCCAGCCGGUCUCCGCUGUCAGCAGAGGCUCCCGGCUAGUGAAGGUGCCAAAUCCGUCUCGUGGCGAGAUGCGCCGCGAGGAAGAUGAGGA
rnacentral:ncRNA from 2 species